GGAGAGGUGGCCGAGUGGCUGAAGGCACCGGUUUGCUAAACCGGCGUAGGGUCAAACUUACCGCGAGUUCGAAUCUCGCCCUCUCCG
rnacentral:tRNA from 1 species